rnacentral:tRNA from 1 species
GGGGGUGUCGCAUAGCGGCAAUUGCAGAAGACUGUAAAUCUUCCGCCUUCGGGCUUCGUCAGUUCGAGUCUGACCGCCCCCA